GAGGAAAGGCAGACACUCCUCUCUGCUGAAGCCCCAGUCCAGCCCUGUUCCCUCCCCGACCCGCACUUCCUGCCCACCCAAGGAGCUGGGCUGGGGUCUGGCAACCUGCACCUCGAGGCUCCUGGGGACCCCCGCACACCCCCACCCCACCCGCAGUCAGGAAGAGCAGCACCUCCUGCCAGGUACACGGGGGAUUCUGGGCGCCUGGGCUGCUGGGCUGGUGCUCCCACAGAUCUAACCCAUCACCCACCGCUCGGGCUCCGACCUCCCCUGCAGCCCGGCCGCUUCUGGAGAACCCCACGUAGCUCUCUGCUUACAGGGGCUGACAGUGUCCUCCCCAAGGAAGGCAGGCCUGAGCCCCAACCGCCAGCCCCUCAGAACGGGGGUGUGCUUGGAGGCAGGGCCUUAGAAAAGGUGACUGCGGUCAGACCCGGGGGUCAGUGGGGACCUCGGUUCGCUGACUGGUGUUCGGACUCAGGCACACACAGAGCGAGCACCACCUUCACGCGAGAGCACUGUCCAGCAGCCGGGACGGGGCCCCGAGCAGGUCCUCCCUCUCCGCGGAACAGGCUCCCAGAACUAGGACCCUCAACCCCCGCCGCGUCAGUGCCGGGUCUCUGCUCUGUGGUCCGGCAGCCCCAGGGCACUGACACUCCCUUCACCUUUUGGGCCACUUUGUAUCCAGAGGCUCCCAGCGUUUCUGAAGCCCAGCCAUCUCGGGGGUCCUCAGGCCGUGGGGGGCACGGGAAACACCAGGGGCUGUGCUCGGAGGCCUCCCCCAGGGCUGGGGGCCCCUUACUGGUGACUCAGAACCCUGAGGUGUCCCCAGACCCAGAGCAUCAGGCCACAGGGACUCACUGUCACGCACUCCCCAGCACGCGCAGAGGCCAGGGCGCCGAGAGCGGCCCUUCCCGUGCACUUGCACAGGCCCAGACUCCGCCAGGGAGCCGGCCAGGGAGCCCUGCCUGGUUGGGCCCGCACGGGGCGAACGGUGGUCUCCCCAGAAAGAUCGGUCCACCCGGACACUGA
rnacentral:lncRNA from 1 species